GUCAAAGUUCAUCUUAGAGCUUCAAGAUCAAGGUCCCAGGUGUUGGAGUGUGGAAAAUUACUGUGGGAAGACUCGGUGCAACAGUUACCUGAAGUCAAUUAGAUUGAAAGAAGGAGCCCAUUAUCAACCAGCUCUAGCGGGAUUUUUAUCACUUCGGAAGUGAUACCCUCUUCAGAGAGACUGGUGCCCACACAGCUGCAUUUCCAGCACUCGAUGGCUCCAUGUGGUUAGCCGCAACUGUGUGGGUCCGCUCGGAUUAUAGAGGACUCCUGUCGGCAGCCUUCUCAGCCUCGACACUAGCAUGCUUGACUCCAUGAUUUCCGAUGGUUUCCUGGCACCAAGAGCUGGCUCUACCGCAUAUCACAGGGUAUUUGAUGUUCCCACGUGAGAACACAGGCAGAUGUAACUUCAGCAGUGGGGAUGGUGAGCCCUUAAGUGCUCUAGAGAAUAAACGAAGUGUGGUCAUAAGGUUGGAAGGAGGUUCCCAGUUCAGACUGGAGGGGGGUGGUGGUGGGGCUUCCCCAGGGAGUCAAUGUCUCCUUGGCUUUGCCAGGGACUCCUCACACCUUGAAAACCAGCCCAGAGGCAGCGUGGAGAAUGUGCAAUGUGGCAUCUUACUGCCUAAACCUUACCUUGAACCCUGAAUUCACAAAAGUAGCGUCCACUUCAUUUCCUUUGUUUUCUGUUUUCCCCUCUUAGUUACUAGUCCUGAGAGGUUAUUGAAAGGCUCCCCGUUCCUCAGUGGUCCAGAGGUGGGCUUUUAUAUAGAGGUAAAAAUCAGCUUAAUCAACAGAGUGGCUCAGGGGGCUCUAGAUAAUAAACAGUCUAAGUUCAUCCGGGACCCACGGACAUGUGACAAAAAGUCUCCUCUACCUCUGGAGUAUAUCUGCCUUUGCACGUAACUUCUCGUACCAUCUCUCAUGCUGAUCAGUUGUAUGUGGCCCAGAGGGGCCCCCAGUUCCCCACUAGAGUGAGGUAAUGCUUGAUGAUCCUUUUGGUUUCAUUGCCAACUAAGACGGGUGCACACGAAAUUUUAUAGCUCAACGUUUUACAAAGCGAACACAAUUAACUUGCUUUGUUAGGUUGAGCAAAGCACAGGAUAGGUGCGGACAUCUGCAGAGACCUUCAGAGGGAGAGAAAGGGCAGCCUGGUGCCCUCCACCCGGCAGAUCCAGCUCCUACUGCUUGGGCUUCGUUUCUAAUUCAUUUCCCAUUUGUAGUUCCCAUCAGUAGGUCCCGAACCGACGCAGCCCCUCCAUCUCAUCUCUAGUCAACUCUUGGCUUUCUUGGAAAGCACAGUCCUUAGCCACUAGUAGACUUUCAGCACAGUCUGUCGUGUGGGUGCUCGCUACUCAAAGACUCAGGAACACAUCUUCAGUGAGACAAACACAGGUGUACCGAGUCUGUUUCUGUGAAGGAGCUCAUACAGUUCCUUGGUGAGGGAGAAUCCAAUGGGCUUGUCCAAGGAUCUUGACUUCGGCAAGGCGAUUGAAGGGAAGGACUAGAGAGACUUCAGGUUUGUGUUGGAUACCAACAAUAUGCAAGCAAUUCAGCACCUCAGAAAUGCUGGUUCAGGAAGCAGGGCGAACAGAACGAGGCUGGGGUACCACUGACAGGAAAGCAACAAUCUUCCAAAGAAAACAUUUCCGCGCUAGCAUGGCCUUGAUUCUGUUUGGUUGUAAACACUAUUUAUCACAGUCUGACUGACAACAGGCUUGAUUUUCACUUAUUUAGUUCAAUGAAAAAAAAAAAGAAAUACAUAAUUGGGUGAAUAUUUAAGUUUGUCCAAAUGUAGAAGCAAUCAUGGUGGGUGACAAACACAACUGAGGUGCCAUCUUUAGCGCUGCCAGAGUGAUCCUUUAUAGCAUGUCUUUUAGGUGAUUGCAUUUCACCACUUUGCAUGAAAUUGGCCUUUAGUGUAAUGAUAUAAUGCUAUAAUGCGGACCCAUCUGAGGGUCUGCCUACCACAUUGGUGUAAAUAGUGGUUCAUGGUUUCUGCUGUUUGUACCUUCGCCCCUCUAUUUUGAUUGCGCAUUCAAAAAUACGGUGUGGUUGGUCUGUGUUCCUCUUCAGGUGCGGUCCCACAUACCCCAUAUUAUCUGUGUGGAGCUGAGAACAAAGGAUCCAUUACUUCUGAAGGCUGUUACACCCUCUCUGCUUGACUCCCCUCUUUUCUAGCAGUUGCAUUACCCCCUGUUUUCAAGAGAACCUAUUGUUUAAGGGGGGUGGUGCUAGGUACUUGAUUGGUGGAAGUAGAGCCGAGAGCUCAUGAACUCUUGUAUCGUAUUAAUUUUUACUUAGCAGCUCAGAAUGUUGGGGUGGGAAGGCAAUCCCAUCAUUUGUGUUAUUCCCUUCACUUUCUGUCUGUUGGCUAGGGUUCCUCCUCUGUUGGUAUUCACUCAUAACCUUAACCGAGCGCUGAGCAAGUCACGGUGACAGCAAGAAUUUCUCCAGCUUCAGGAAGUCACCACACCACACCGACAGCAGACUGUUAAGCUGUUUUCAAUAGUACCAGCCAGAGGGUAGCUGUGUGCUGUGUGCAUCGUAAGGUGGCUGUACCAGAAAGCACGGAGAGGAAAGGGCAGCUAGAGUGGGAAGACCAAUAAAGAUUUAUAGUGAACAAUCCAAACACCCUGAUCAUCAGUCCUUAAAGUAGGGUAGAAUAGUUUUGAAAAUGGACAAAGCGAUGUUGUUGCUAAAAACAUGAAAUGAAAAUUCAACAGAUCUCCACAAGCAACAAAUAAAUACAGCCAGAAUUAGAGCUAGGGGGAGAACAAUCUAGAUCACAGAUAACUCACAUGGCAUUGGGUCUGCUGGGAAUGAAGAAUCAGUGGGGAGACAGUUGGGACAUCAAUCAGAUGGCAGAGGGCAUUUUGUUGCAAUGCAUUGGUAGUGACAGUAUUUGAAGGUCUCUUGGUCCAAGUUCUGGGCAAGUUUUUGGUUAAUUUUUGAAAGGUGUUGUUUAUUUAGUUUUAGUAGAUCCGUCUAAGGUAGAUGGGACCAAUUCUCCUUCACAGAAGGGAAUCUGAAACUGAGAAGCUAGUGCUUGCCCAGAGGCCCAUGUUGUAGGAGAUAGAAGGAACCAAACACUUACCUGCAUAAGAAAAUCAACAUCUGUAGAAUGGUAAAGGAAGUGUUAAUCCCUGUAAGCUAGGAGAAGACAGAGUUUGUGAAAAUGGAAGGCCAAGUUGAGAGAGAAGAACAUUCCAGACAGACAGAAUGACAUGCAGGUUUGGAAUGCCCGACAAAGCACAAAGGAAUGGAUUUCUACUGGAGAAAGUGGUAUAUGGAUGGAUGGGGAGACACUAGAGGCAGUACUCAGCUGGGGGAGGUUCUGUAUGGCAGAUUGCAGUUUGGAUUCCAUGUUGUUUGCAGUGGGGGAGCCAGUGAAGAUUUUAAAUGGGAAGAUUGGCUGAUAUGGUUGGAUUUGCAGAACAGGAAGAAGAUUCUCGUAGCAGAUAGAACCUUAUCUGAAAGGGUUAAAAGAGAGAUGCUUCAGAAAGCCAGUGACAACCAUAGUCAGAACCAGGAGAGGGAAAAGUAAUGGGGUAAAGAAAUCUAGCUCAAGAUGCAGUAAGUGGAAUGUAGAAGGCAAGCCUAGAUAUAGGGACUUGAGAGAAGGGACAACUGAGGAUGCUGGAAUGGUGGUCUGGACUAUUGCUGGAUAGUUAAGUCAUUAGUAUAGACAAGGGAACUAGAAAAAUGAACAAGGAGGUAGGGACAGAUCGGACAAAGAUGAGAGUCCAAUUUUUCAUAUGCUAAUUAUGAUGAUGAUGAUGUUGACCUCAAAGAAACACUGCUUACUGACUUUCUUCAAGUUUCCCGUUGAGCUGUCUUUCUCAUAUUCCACAGACCCACCUACCACCAGCAGUGGGCUUCCUGCAUCAACUAGCAAUCAGGAAAAUCCCCCUCCCAGACACUGCCAUGGGCAGUUCUGAUAGACGCAAUUCCUCAGAUGAGGUUCCUUUUUCCCAAACAUGUCAAGUUGACCAUCAAGAUGAGCAUUCCCAAAACUGAACAUUUGAAUUUACAAAGGGAUGAGACACCAGAGUGGUGGAUAAAACUAUUCCAGGGGCAUUGUUUGGGUGGCAUAAUUGAUUCUCUUUAUGAGUGAUAGUUAUGUUCGACAAAGCCACUGUGGGCACUAUUUCAACCUGAUUUAAUGUAUAACCUUGUUUUCUGAAUGUUUCCAUUUAAGGACACCUCGUUUAAUAUUGUCGGCUCCUGACUCAGGAAAGCAUGGCCAACAACACUCCAACUCCAUCCCAUAAGAAAGGUUUUCUAAAGUGUGUUUUCUCCACAAGGUAUAAAACAGACUUCCUGAACUUAGAACAAGAAAGUGAGCAAUACCGCGAAUCGGAAACAGGGCUCAUUUGAUCAUGAGUAUAAAAGCAUACUUUGCUUUAGUCUUUAAUGGAGUCAAGGAAACUAGAAUGUUGAACGGGGCAGUGGGGACAGAUGGGAUGAGGGUGGCAGUUCAGUUGGGAACAUGCCAAUUAUCCAGAACUGGAGCGAGAAGGCAGAGUGCUGCUCUGUUCAGCCUCACUUGGGACUAUGCACAGUAGACCCUAAACUUCCUGCCGCUCUGUCUUUUACGGCGGUGAAAGCUCCCAAGGGCACGGAUGGUGGGAUGGCAAGGGAAGUUUAUGGAGCGGGCAAGUUCUUGAGCGACGUGGAUGAGCCAUUCACCAAUUCACCAUCAUGACUCUUUGGUUGAUACCACCCAGAAAAGGAUUAUGAGAAGAAAAGGGGGUUAAAAUAUGCCCUGGAUGUUACCAAUGCUUAAAAGACGGGUAGCAGGAAGGAGGGAGGGUAGAAGGAAUGCCCACACUCGUGGCAUACAGCACGCAUAGGUGUGAAACAUCAGGGGGUGGGGGGGGGAAUCUGCGAGGAUUGUUUGAAAAAACAACUAUUCUCAUUAAAUAUAGUUUUUUAAAAAAGCAGCCAGGAGUCUCCACCAAAACCAAGAGGCUAACUAAAAAGCGAAAGGUACCACUUAAUUCACAAAUAGAAUGAAACCUUGAAGAGGAAGCCUGUGGGCUUCCUGCUGGUCUGCUUUCAAGAGGCUUAAUGCCAGGGGUUGGCCAGUCCAUCGUAGAUCUUCCCUGAUAAGCCUCAGUGUAGAGGGAAUGAGAGAGGGGACUCAGUGGCUGGAAACAACCCAGCAGCCAUUGACUUAUAGUCUGGGAGAAAGAGCAACGAUAUUUCCAGGUGUCAACGGCUUACUUCUGUCUCAUGGUUGAGAGAGGACAGUGGAGAGGGGAAGGAGGAAAGAACUGGGUAUGGCUGAUGAGUAGGGUCCACUGGUAAGUACAAAUGCAGAAGGCAGUCUCCAGGGGAUGAACAUUGAUCUUCAAACAUGUCACAUUUGUCCCAUCCCCCACCCCCAGUCUUGGCUCCUGCUGGUCUGUGUCCUCACAUGGCUCUCUCUGUCACUCUUCAUAUGACUGGCCCCUUCCUCAUGAGUGGAGGAAGCCAGACACUAGAAGUCAUAUACUGCUCAAUGUUAUUCAUCCAAAAUGUGCAUGAAGGAGUAAUCAUAGAGACGGAGGGUACACCGGUCAUUGCCAAGGGCUGAGGAGCCCGGGGAUGGGGUGAGAGCAACCAUUUAGUGAGAAUGGGCUUCUUGGGGGGUGAGCGAGAGUGGUGGAGAGAAACCUUUUUCUUUUCUCUGCUGGAACGGGGUAAUUAUGAAGGCUGAACAUCAUUAAUGUUCCGGAGGCCACUACACUGUGUAGUUUAAAAUAGCUAAGGUAGUGAACCCUAAUAAAAAGUAUACAAUGUGAGUGCAUCAGGAGUGCAGCUCAGGUCUGAACACUCCGGGCUGCUACUUUAACCUGUCCCCACAGGAGUCUGAGAACCACUUACAAACCCCCUCAGGCAUGCAUAUGCCAAACAGAUGUAUUACUCGGAGUUAUCAAUUCGUUACUCCUAAGAUUCUCGAAAGAGUCUCUCAGAUUGUGACUCUCAACUCUUGCAUAAAGAUGUGGUUCCUAGGUAGCCCAUAAAUCCUUUAAUAUUUAUAGCAUAAAACACGGAAAAUUUGUUUGGAGUCCUUCCAGAUGCUGCUACUGAAGGGAGACAUGUUUUUCAAGUGACGGAAACCAUCUUCCUGUCUCACCAUCUUCAAACCAAGGUCCACAGAAGGCAACUCUUCUAAGGGGUGUCCUUGCAUUAUGCGUGGGGGAAGAGGUACCACAUGGAGUUCCUAUGGACAUCAAAGCCAUGGCAGAGGAAUUUGCUCAUGGCUAAGAGUUUAUUGUGCCCUGUGUGUGUGUUGGGGGGCAGUCUGAGGGUACAUUGUAUACAAUGUCUCUUUUUCGUUAUAGCUGUGACUAGCUCUCUAGGGGCAGCUGCUGACAUUAACCAUCUCUGUGUAGAAACCAGGCAGGCCUGUGUGCCAAUCCGUGUGAGUCCUCACUCUGAGCACAGUAGCAAGCAUGCCACUUGAACAAAUCAUCUUCAGGGACAGGAAACUGCCAGGUCUUGUUCGGCUAAACACUAUUGAAUUCUCUGAGGGAAUUUUCUUUUGCUCAUGGAUGGAGGAUGAAUCACGGAUGCAAAUGAUACUUUGUGUUGACAAACAUAAACCUUCGUUUCAACUGGGCACGGAAAACGGAACCCAAAUGCAUGAGUUCUUUAUAGGAGAGGAAUUUGGACGCUGGUCAUAUUUCUUUCUUUUAUUCCUCGCCUUCAGAUAGUAUCUCAUGUAACCCAGGCUGGCUUCAGACUCAUGAUGCAGCCAAAGGAUGACCUUGAACUUCUGACCAUCUUGCUUCCACCUCCCAAGUGCUGGGAUUACAAGGUGCUUGGAUUGCUGGCGUGCACCGUUACACUUGGUUUGUGAGGUACUAGACCAAACCUGGGCAUUUAUAGAAGCUAAACAAGUCCUCUACCCACUGAGUUCCAUCCUUCCAUCCGGACACCUGACUACUCUACCACCAAAAGGACCACCUGGAGAUAGAGAUAUCUGAAUUGCCCAGAAGUUCUUGCUUUAUGUUGCCCACUCUGAUUCUGCAGCAUGUCACAAUCUCUCCCCCAAGGAGGCUGUUCCAGUUGCUUCUUCUCCAUUCUGACCUCAGGCACUGGUCUGUGCUUAUACCUCUUUUCUAGUGGCCAGUCACUUGUUCAUCAAUAUAUACAUCAGUCUGUUCUUAUACUUCUGUUCCAGUGGGCUAGUCACUCAUUCAACAAUAUUGACGCUGCGUUACACCCUGUUCUCAGAGUUAAGGAUAAGGUAGUGAAUGUAAAAGGCGAAGUGUUAGUCCCAUAGAGAAACAAAUAAAUGUAUCUGGUAAACAAACAUAAAUAAAACUCACGCUGAGUGAGAAAAAAGGGUGCAGAGUGCUGGAGGGGAUUCGUGGUUCCUGAUGAGGUGGUUUGGGAAGAGCUUUGAGUUAAGUCUGAGGAGAGGACUUGAUGGAGAAAGCCAUGGGGGCAUGGUCUGGCCAGGGAGGAAUAGGACAUGAAUACAUGAAUCACAGAAUCACUGUUGUGGCUUGAAUGGGAAAUAUCUCUCAAACACUCGAGUAUUUGUACACUUGGUCCCUGAUGGGUCUAGUUGUUUGGGACUUUAUGGAACCCUUAGAAGGUAUGGAGUCACUGGAGGAAGAAUGUCCCUGGCUUUUAGAGCCCCACCAUAUUCCCUCCCCCCUCUCUCUUGGCCUUGUAUUUGUGGUUAGGAUAUGAUCACUCAGCUUCCUGCUCCAGCCUCCUGCUACCAUGCUUCUCCCAUCAUUGUGGACCAUCAACCAAAAUAAAAUUUUACUUCCUUAA